AUUCCGAAUAAUAAUUAAAAAUUGUAUAAUGUAUUUUUGUAAAAUUGUAUGACUGUUAUAAGUAUAAUUCUGAAUAAUAAAAAUAAUUAAACGAAUAAACAAACAUUAUCAGAUUUUCCACGGCCCAGAGUUGCCCAACGUCCGGGAGUAGGCUAUUAGGUGCAUUAAAAAAAAAACCUAGCCAGGUUUUACAUAUUAGUACACAAUAGUAUAUUUUGACCGUUUUAACGGAAACUUUUGUUAGUUAUUAAAUAGUUAUAAUUUUUAUUUUACCCUUCUUGGUUUCUUAUAUGUUUGCGUAAAGUUUAAUGUUUUAAACUAGAGUUUAUAAGUUUGAACUUUGUUUUAGAUUUUUGUUAAUAUUUUUAAAAAUUACAAAGAAAAUAUGAAGAAUAACAGCAUAUUAGUAUAGAUAAAUGUUUAUUUAUUUUCCUUUAAGCUAUAGUUUCUGAAAUUUGAACAUUUUAGUAGUAUUGGGGGCACCCUUUUAUUAACAAUUACAUGAUAUUAUGUAAGUUUUUAAAAUUAGGCUUUUAUUUGAAAAAUAAAUUACAACUUGUCAGUAAAUAUUAACGAUACUUGUUUGUUGUAACCUUUAUACCAUCUAGGUGUAUUGUUUGUAAUCAUAAAGUAAACUUAUAUGUAGUACAUUUUAAUUUGUUUUUUUCUAUUUUUAAUCUUAUGACCUGGUAACUUAGACUUUUAAGUCAUAACUUAUUUGGAAAAUGUUCCCGUUGCCUUUCCCACUAGAGAUAAAUUGAAGAAAAAAAAAUGGAAAAUGUUCAGUAUUUUGGAGUUUGGACUGAAGUGGAUCACUAAAUUUAGUCACUUAAAUUUUUUGAACUGUAUCUUUUAUGUAAUUAUAAAUAGGUUUGUAGGAUAUUGGAUCUUUUAGUAAAACCUUGAGUGGCUGCGGGCGGGAGGAAGAAACACACUUAUAUGCAUUGGUCACACUAAGGUCACUAGCCAGCACAAGUCUGAAUUGAAUAUGGGUCUUUGGCAAUCGAAUAUAAUAUGGUGGAUUGUUCCUUCUGCUUGACAGUGAUUACAUUUAUUGUUUAAAACAAUCCCAAGUCUUGCUAGGUGUGACGGAGCAGUAUUAUGACCAAAUCUCAAUCUGUUUAUUGUUGUAAUGUAAUCUCGACUUUCAUUCGUUUUCAAUUUGUCAUACCAUGGUUUAAUAGCCCAAAAAAUUGUUUAAUAUUACACUUUGGUGGAGAUACAAUCAGCAACCUUAGAAGUGCCAAUGAUUUAUUUUCUUGGCAUCAAGUGAGAAGUUUGCAGUACACAUAAAUAUAUCUAAAACUGAGGUUAUGGUCAUGGAUAGAUCAGGAAGACUGCCACAGGAACUUAAAAAUCGGAGAAUAGGGCAAGUUUAUAUAACCUGGUUUCCAGAUAAGCAGUCAAAGAGGAAGAGAAAACGAAACCCAAAGAAGAACCCAGGUGACCAAUGCUGCAAAACAAAACUGUUGUGUUUGCAGUCUUGGAGUUCGUAAUAAACGACGUUUUAUAUAUA